CCCUUAGAUGUUCUGGGCUGCACGCGCGCUACACUGAUGCGCUCAACGAGUUUAUGACCUUGCCUGGAAAGGUUGGGUAAUCUUCUUAAAACGCAUCGUGAUGGGGAUAGAUUAUUGCAAUUAUUAAUCUUCAACGAGGAAUUCCUAGUAAGCGCGAGUCAUCAGCUCGUGCUGAUUACGUCCCUGCCCUUUGUACACACCGCCCGUCGCACCUACCGAUUGAAUGGUCCGGUGAAAUCUCGGGACGGCGGCUUGGUCGCUUGCGUCCGACUGCUGAAACUUGAUUAAACCAUAUCAUUUAGAGGAAGGUGAAGUCGUAACA
rnacentral:rRNA from 1 species